UACAGAGGUCUCAAGCGUUGUUCGGAAUCACUGGGCGUAAAGGGUGCGUAGGCGGCGGAGUAAGUCGGGUGUGAAAUUUGAGGGCUCAACCUUCAACUAGCACCUGAUACUACUUUGCUCGAGGCCUGAAGAGGAGCUUGGAAUUCUCGGUGUAGCAGUGAAAUGCGUAGAUUUCGAGAAGAACGCUCGCAGCGAAAGCGAAGCUCUGGUCAGGUUCUGACGCUGAGGCACGAAGGCUAGGGGAGCAAACGGG
rnacentral:rRNA from 1 species